AAAUAAGCGAUGAAUGGGCAUAGUAGUUUAUCUGUCACUGUCUUAGAAAGCGAAUGGCUGCUGGAAAUUCGCACAUACAGAUCAAAUGAAGUACACCUUGGAGCUUUCCUCUACAGGCGCUACCCAGCGUUAUGGGAAUAAGUGAAAAUGGUCUGUUUCGUCCAUUUUAAUCAGGGUGGUACCACGGCGCUGUUCGUCCCGGUA
rnacentral:ncRNA from 1 species